GCGGCCUGGAGCGGGUGCUGGGACACAGCUCACUGCUCCGGCCCUCAGAGCCAGCCCCAGGUGCCCUCCCUGCUCUGCCGUGCUAGGAUACGCCAGUUCCCAGUGGCUCUGCAGAGAGCUUGGCUGGCUCUUGGAGCUGGUUGGCCUGAGAGUCCCAGUGGCGAUGCCUCCGUUACUUCUGCCUGAUGGGGGAGAGACCGAGUCCCUGCAGCCGAGGACGGCAGCUCCUCUGGCAGCCCCGUUCCAGCCCCCCUGCCACAGACCUGAGGCUUGUGCCUCCUUCCCCAUCUUUGGGCGCAAGAGAAAGAGCUGGAGAGGGAGACAGUAGAGCAAGGAGAGUUCAGGAGUCUGUGCCUGCCUCUGAUGGGCAAGGGCUGUCCUGGGGGAAGCCAGAAUUAGAAGUCCAUCAGACAUUCGCUCGCCCCAGAAGCGGGUCACAUGUCUCCAAAGGGCUGGCAGACAGCUUUCCUCGGAUGGGAGCGGAAGAAAAAUAUCUCGUAAUUACGAUGAAUGUUAAUAAUUAAACUUCCUGUAAGU